CUCUUCUGCAUGGAAGAACAAAAAGGAAAUCUUAGUAAUCAUAAAGAAACUGGAGAAGCUGUAAAAUUCUCCCUUGCCCUCUUCACACCUCUCCUUGGUGAGAAAGCCCAGCUGCAGAACCUGAUCAUCUGCUGUCAGUAUCCUGAAAUGACAGUUCUACAGAAGGAAAUGAGGAAUCCAGGUAAAACUGAGAUGGCACAGCAGCAAACAGCCUCUCCCUGCCACAGCUCCCCUCUGGAAUUUACACACCUGACGCUCCCUUGCACUGCCUCUAGGCUUUAAGACUAUUUGUUCUUCACACCUUCUCCCCCACCAGCCAUG
rnacentral:lncRNA from 12 species